rnacentral:rRNA from 1 species
GAUGAACGCUGGCGGCGUGCCUAAUACAUGCAAGUCGAGCGAACAGACGAGGAGCUUGCUCCUCUGACGUUAGCGGCGGACGGGUGAGUAACACGUGGAUAACCUACCUAUAAGACUGGGAUAACUUCGGGAAACCGGAGCUAAUACCGGAUAAUAUAUUGAACCGCAUGGUUCAAUAGUGAAAGACGGUUUUGCUGUCACUUAUAGAUGGAUCCGCGCCGCAUUAGCUAGUUGGUAAGGUAACGGCUUACCAAGGCAGCGAUGCGUAGCCGACCUGAGAGGGUGAUCGGCCACACUGGAACUGAGACACGGUCCAGACUCCUACGGGAGGCAGCAGUAGGGAAUAUUCCGCAAUGGGCGAAAGCCUGACGGAGCAACGCCGCGUGAGUGAUGAAGGUCUUCGGAUCGUAAAACUCUGUUAUUAGGGAAGAACAAAUGUGUAAGUAACUAUGCACGUCUUGACGGUACCUAAUCAGAAAGCCACGGCUAACUACGUG